rnacentral:rRNA from 1 species
CAGUCGCCGCGUGAAAACGAAGGGUGCAAGCGUUAAUCGGAAUUACUGGGCGUAAAGCGCGCGUAGGUGGUUUGGUAAGAUGGAUGUGAAAUCCCCGGGCUCAACCUGGGAACUGCAUCCAUAACUGCCUGACUAGAGUACGGUAGAGGGUGGUGGAAUUUCCUGUGUAGCGGUGAAAUGCGUAGAUAUAGGAAGGAACACCAGUGGCGAAGGCGACCACCUGGACUGAUACUGACACUGAGGUGCGAAAGCGUGGGGAGCAAACAGGAUUAGAUACCCCGGUAGUCCCUGUCUCUUAUAC